rnacentral:tRNA from 1 species
GUGGCUGUAGCUCAUCUGGCAGAGCGUCUCCCUGUGGAGGAGAAGGUAGCGGGUUCGAGCCCCGUCAGUCACC